CGUCUUCGGCGGCGGCGGCGGCGGGCUCGCGAGGGGCAAGAGCAGCGGCUUCGCGAGGGGGCGGCGAGCUCACGAGGGGCAAGAGCAGCGGCUUCGCGAGGGGCGGCGAGGUGGCGGCGUCGGCGGUACCCAUUCCACGUGCCUAGCGACCGCGCCCGGCCCUUCCACGCCCCCGUCUGCGGGUUCCACCGCUUCGUCCUGUUCUUCUUCGUCGGCGCGCCGGCGCGGGUGUUCGCGUAGGUCAUGUUGUCCGCGAAGCAGUGGCGGCAGCAGCCGAAGCCGUUCUUCGCGCCGGGGUUGAGGAGGCUCUUCAUCAUCUAGAACCACCAGAGCGCGGUCGGGAGGAAAAAAAAAACAAAAGCAAGGUCAUACGUACGAUUCUUCUGGAUUAGUUCAUAGACAUUAAAUGACACUACAACCAUUACCUUUAGAGUGACGUAACAGGUCAAUUAAAAAACGGUAUAAGGA
rnacentral:rRNA from 1 species